CACGUAGGGCGCAAGCGUUGUCCGGAACUAUUGGGCGUAAAGAGCUCGUAGGCGGUCCGUCACGUCCGCUGUGAAAACCCAGGGCUCAACCCUGGGCUUGCAGUGGAUACGGGCAGACUAGAGGUAGGUAGGGGAGAAUGGAAUUCCCGGUGUAGCGGUGAAAUGCGCAGAUAUCGGGAGGAACACCGGUGGCGAAGGCGGUUCUCUGGGCCUUACCUGACGCUGAGGAGCGAAAGCGUGGGGAGCGAACAGG
rnacentral:rRNA from 1 species